rnacentral:tRNA from 1 species
GCGGGGGUGCCCGAGCAUGGUCAAAGGGGGUAGGCUCAGGACCUCAAGUGAGAUCCCUACUGGCGUAGGCCUGCGCGGGUUCAAGUCCCGCCCCCCGCA